CUGCUUCACCUGGGCUAGCUGGGUCCUCUCCUCUUGGAGAGAGACUGGUGAUGCUCCCUCCCUCCAGGCUCCAGGCUCCCCUCCCCUAUCAACUUGAGCCUUGUCUAAUGUGCAGCCUGCAGAAUGCUGCAGCUGCACAAGCCGGUGGUGCUGUUCCUUCCAGGAAGGUGGCCUGCGCUUUUUUCAAGAGCUCUGGCAAAAAGGAAACUAUAUAUGAACCAGCGCGGCCUCGGAGCUCUACAUCAAAAAGAGGUCCUCGGCAACGGGUUUAGGGUUCGGCUUUUUUUUUUUGAGGGAUGAAUAGGGUGGCCGUCAAGUGUGUUACCAGCGACCGCAUCGAAAAAUCGUUCCUGGCGGUUGCCUACAUUAGCUGUGCGGCUUCGCGGGUUGUGCGUCCAUUCUUUAAUACAGUAUUAAACAAACAUCUUUUCAAAUUA